rnacentral:rRNA from 1 species
UGGGGAAUAUUGGACAAUGGGCGAAAGCCUGAUCCAGCCAUGCCGCGUGUGUGAAGAAGGUCUUCGGAUUGUAAAGCACUUUAAGUUGGGAGGAAGGGCAGUAAGUUAAUACCUUGCUGUUUUGACGUUACCGACAGAAUAAGCACCGGCUAACUCUGUGCCAGCAGCCGCGGUAAUACAGAGGGUGCAAGCGUUAAUCGGAAUUACUGGGCGUAAAGCGCGCGUAGGUGGUUUGUUAAGUUGGAUGUGAAAGCCCCGGGCUCAACCUGGGAACUGCAUCCAAAACUGGCAAGCUAGAGUACGGUAGAGGGUGGUGGAAUUUCCUGUGUAGCGGUGAAAUGCGUAGAUAUAGGAAGGAACACCAGUGGCGAAGGCGACCACCUGGACUGAUACUGAUACUGAGGUGCGAAAGCGUGGGGAGCAAACA